rnacentral:rRNA from 1 species
AUUGAACGCUGGCGGCAGGCCUAACACAUGCAAGUCGAGCGGAUGACGGGAGCUUGCUCCUUGAUUCAGCGGCGGACGGGUGAGUAAUGCCUAGGAAUCUGCCUGGUAGUGGGGGACAACGUUUCGAAAGGAACGCUAAUACCGCAUACGUCCUACGGGAGAAAGCAGGGGACCUUCGGGCCUUGCGCUAUCAGAUGAGCCUAGGUCGGAUUAGCUAGUUGGUGGGGUAAUGGCUCACCAAGGCGACGAUCCGUAACUGGUCUGAGAGGAUGAUCAGUCACACUGGAACUGAGACACGGUCCAGACUCCUACGGGAGGCAGCAGUGGGGAAUAUUGGACAAUGGGCGAAAGCCUGAUCCAGCCAUGCCGCGUGUGUGAAGAAGGUCUUCAGAUUGUAAAGCACUUUAAGUUGGGAGGAAGGGCAGUAAGCUAAUACCUUGCUGUUUUGACGUUACCGACAGAAUAAGCACCUGCUAACUCUGUGCCAGCAGCCGCCGUAAAAC